rnacentral:rRNA from 1 species
CCUACGGGAGGCAGCAGUGGGGAAUAUUGCACAAUGGGGGAAACCCUGAUGCAGCGACGCCGCGUGAGUGAAGAAGUAAUUCGUUAUGUAAAGCUCUAUCAGCAGGGAAGAAAAUGACGGUACCUGAGUAAGAAGCCCCGGCUAACUACGUGCCAGCAGCCGCGGUAAUACGUAGGGGGCAAGCGUUAACCGGAUUUACUGGGUGUAAAGGGAGCGUAGACGGCAGUGCAAGUCUGGAGUGAAAGGCGGGGGGUCAACCCCCGGACUGCUAUGGAAACUGUACGGCUGGAGUGCAGGAGAGGUAAGUGGAAUUCCUAGUGUAGCGGUGAAAUGCGUAGAUAUUAGGAGGAACAACAGUGGCGAAGGCGGCUUACUGGACUGUAACUGACGUUGAGGCUCGAAAGCGUGGGGAGCAAACAGGAUUAGAUACCCGAGUAGUC